rnacentral:rRNA from 1 species
UUCCAGACUCCUACGGGAGGCAGCAGUGGGGAAUAUUGCACAAUGGGGGAAACCCUGAUGCAGCGACGCCGCGUGAGUGAAGAAGUAUUUCGGUAUGUAAAGCUCUAUCAGCAGGGAAGAAAAUGACGGUACCUGACUAAGAAGCCCCGGCUAACUACGUGCCAGCAGCCGCGGUAAUACGUAGGGGGCAAGCGUUAUCCGGAUUUACUGGGUGUAAAGGGAGCGUAGACGGUGAUGCAAGUCAGAAGUGAAAGCCCGGGGCUCAACUCCGGGACUGCUUUUGAAACUGGGUAACUGGAGUGCAGGAGAGGUAAGCGGAAUUCCUGGUGUAGCGGUGAAAUGCGUAGAUAUCAGGAGGAACACCAGUGGCGAAGGCGGCUUACUGGACUGUAACUGACGUUGAGGCUCGAAAGCGUGGGGAGCAAACAGGAUUAGAUACCCGAGUAG